rnacentral:rRNA from 1 species
AUUGAACGCUGGCGGCAGGCCUAACACAUGCAAGUCGAACGAGUGGCGGACGGGUGAGUAAUGUCUGGGAAACUGCCUGAUGGAGGGGGAUAACUACUGGAAACGGUCGCUAAUACCGCAUACCCUCGGAUGUGCCCAGAUUGGAUUAGCUAGUAGGUGGGGUAAAGGCUCACCUAGGCGACGAUCCCUAGCUGGUCUGAGAGGAGGACCAGCAAAACUGGAACUGAGAAACGGUCCAGACUCCUACGGGAGGAAGCAGUGGGGAAUAUUGCACAAUGGGGGCAAGCCUGAUGAACCCAGGCCGCGUGUAUGAAGAAGGCCUUCGGGUUGUAAAGUACGUUAAGCGGGGAGGCGUUACCCGAAGAAGAAGCACCGGCUAACUCCGUGCCAGCAGCCGCGGUAAUAC